rnacentral:tRNA from 1 species
GGGAGUGUAGCUCAAGGGAAUAGAGCGCCGAGCUUCUACCUCGGAUGAUGUGGGUUUAAGUCCUACCACUCCUG